rnacentral:lncRNA from 1 species
GGAGAUUUAGCCGAAAAAUUAAUUAUUUUCUCCCUCCUCUGGACAUCAUCUGUUGUGAACCUUUCUUGGCGUGCGCCUGGCAAAUCCGCCAUCAUAAUAGCAAUCCGCCAUGGAACAAGCGCCGAUCGCUCUUAAAGGGAUAGUUCACCCAUUUAGAACCGGAGUUCUAUCAUUAUAAAAUCGCUAUUGUAAUGUAAAUUAAUAUAUAAAAAUAUAUCAGUCUAAACCAGUCUCCCCUUGGCCCAUUUUUUCUCAUCAAAUUUUCUCCCGAAAUGACGUCAAAUGACGCGUUUGACGUCAUUUCGGGAGAAACCUCUCUUCCCGCUAGAUGGGCCGAGGACUACAACACACUUUUGGUGGCAAAUUUGCCGGAAAUUUUUCCACCAAUAAGGAAUGAGAGGGGGCGGGAGCUUGCACGCUUGCACGCUCAGCUCGCGUACUGUGGGGGAAUGAGAGGGACGGGAGACCGACACAAACCGCUGACCAUGGCAGAAGCAACAGCUGAGUUUGAAAAUAUAUUGCUGCAUUGUAAUAUUCAGGGCUAUUUGCAUGAGCCAGAAUACAGCGAGGAAGAACUGAGACGAAUAGAGGAGGAGGCUGCUGCGGCUGCAGCUGAACAAGCCUUGCCUGUUGCCGAGGAGCCGGAUCGCGCCGGAGUGAACUGGUGGUGUACCUGUUUGCUCUGUUCACCUAUGGAGACUCACAAAGAGUCCCUGUGCUGCAGCGAAUCUCAGCGAUGCCAGUUUCUUCGCGAUGAAAUGGCUGAAUCUGGCGAGGAAGGGGCCGUGUGUGUAACAUCUCACCCAGGCUUUACGCCUCAUCUGAACCGUUGGGUAUUGGACACUUAUUUCCGUACCCAGAAAGUCAACUGGAAACGCCAGCCAAAGCCCGCCGGGAGAAACGGACGUCUGAGCACAGAUAUAGGCUAACAUCUUACCGGCAUUUCCUGGAGUGGAUACUGCAAGGUGAGAGACUUGGGAGAGGCAAUCGCCUUGUUUUGCCAGCGUGUGUUGUCCAGGCCAUAAGGGCUAAUUACCCAACACAAGAUGGGCAGUACCGUGGCUACCAGGAGACGGUAGAUGCCCAAGAUGAGCUGUGAUAUUUAGAAAACUCACCAUACGUUUUGUUUUUGUAUAUAGUUUAUAUUUUAUGAAUAAAACUUCAAAUUCAUGUUGGUUGUUGUGAUUUGUUUACUAUACCAAAUGAUGUUACACUAAAGUAGGCCUGCUGUAUAAGAUGAACACUUAUUUCAACUGGGGAGAAAAGGUUUACAUAUAGCCUACUUGAUAUGCUGAAAUACUGUAAUUAGCAAAUGUUUGAUGUGCAGUAAUAUACAAAUGAUACCUAAAAUAAUUAUAAAUCUAUUCUUGCUACAUUCAUACAUGAUGGCUGUAUGUUCAACCUACUUUGCAAGAAAAAAUGUAAUGACAGAAAUUUAAAUAAUUAUUGCAGUGAAGUUUGUUAUGGCGAACAUGGGUUUAUACAGGAGUCCAAGGUAAGGUAGUAAAAACAAUAAGAUUUUAUUCACAAAGGAAAAUGAUACAAUAUUUACAAAGAUAAGAUUGAAAACAAAUGUUUUAUAAAAGAUACGUUUAAAUAGAUAAAAUAGGUCAGAUGUCCCUCUCAGAAGCGCCUUUUUAAUUCAGCCACUGCCGCCUCCUUUGGUGGUUUUGGCACUGGUGCAAUGUUAGGUGGCAGCGCAGGCUGGGGCAGGGCAAGUGAGGAUGUUGAAACCUUAUAUAGAAUCGUUGGGUUUCGUCUUCUGGUUAUGACACUUGUGACAAGUGUGUCAAUGAACUGGGUGGUGUGUGGAAUAAAAAUCUGCUUCACGACCCACUGCUUGGAUCUCCUGCAAAACACUUGGUUGAAGCGUGGUUGUCCUGCAAAAUAAAUUACAAAUAAUUAUAGAUAAGACUAUAAAGGCAACAUUUGAGAUGCUGUACUUUUUUCAAAUGAAAUACCCGAAUUAUUCAGCCAAGAAUAAAACUGCUCAAUAUGCAUUUGCUUCCUAGUAUAAUGUUAGAUUAUAUCACUCACUGAAAAGGCUUUUUUCCUGCUUUACUUUGUUUUUGAACUAUUUUAGCAAUUUGCCCCGAUAGCUGCUAUUCGUUUGGGUCACGUGACGUCACUGUAGCUUUGCGCCACCAUCUUGACGACCGAUCUCACCCACUGACCCAUUGAUUUCAGUGGUAACUCAUGCCGGCAAUUUGUUGUGCAGUGGGCACAACAGUACAUACUACAUACCUAGCGCAAGGCAACGGGCAAUGCUCGUUCAAAACUCAUCCCCGGCGUCCAUAGCGAAAUCGACAGUAUGCUAAGCUAAGCUAAGCACACAGAGACCCGGGUAGCAGCCGAGGGAGCGUAUCUAUGAUCCCGGGUCCUAUGUUCCCCGGGUCCUAUGUUCCCCUCUUUGUAUGAGACUGGGGAACAAAGGACCGCUUUUCCCAAAAAGGGUCCUAUGUUCCCCGAUAUGUUUUUCUACCAUUACUGCCAAAUACCGGCCGAGAAAACUACCAUUGCAUGUGUUUACCUUUGUGGAAGAGGGAGACGUCGGAGAACCUGACGCAGUCUUUUCAUACGCCGGUAAACAAACCCCGAGAAGCCCAAUCCCUACGAGAGCUCCCCGCGCUACGGCCAACCGGAUGCGCAGAGCCUUUGGCCGUGAUAUUAUUAUACAAAUUAUAUUAUAUACUAAGAGCUCCGGGAGUCGCAAACGGCACGGGGAACAUAGGACCCUUUUCACUGCUAGUGAGCUCUAGCAGUAAACUGAAGUGCUCACUAGUAGCAGCACAGAAAUAUAGUAGAAUAUUACGACAGUCUUACCUGUAGGCGACUGCGUUUCGCUGCGGGAGGUGCAUUAGAAGCCCCGGCCUGUUCGUCAUCUGGGCACGGGCCCACAGCGAAGACGCACGGAACAGCAGUUGGUUUGAGUGCGGACCUUAUCUUGCCGAAAAGUCUUCCAUCAAAAUCCUCCAGUUUGAAAUGGAGACUGGGUCUCCAUUGGUCCCCAAGGCUUCCGUAGUUGUAAGAAUAGAGUCGCAGACGCCACCGGACGGUAGCUAAGCUAUCUAGGCUAUUUUCGAAUUACGAAAAUAUGAAAUAAAAAAUUGAAGAGUCAAUCGGGAUAUCAGGCUAUGGGACCUAAAAAGAAUUUACAGAUGGAGGACGAUGUUGAGGACAUAAAGAAGUCGCUCAACUUCCUGACGGAGGAA